CACUACACCGUCAACAUUUUAUGUUACCCGACUUUUUAAAUAUAUGUACGCUUCAUUAGUACAUUACAGCGAUGGAUGGAAAACUUAGCAACGAGGAAUGCCCAUGUUGCCCGCAUUUGGAAUGUACUGGAGACAUCUCCUGCAGUAUGGCGGUCACCAGAUCCGAGUUGUGCUGGAGCUUGGCCACUCUCCGGUCUCGUCUCUUCAGUUGGCGCACCAGGCGAGACGAUACAAAGUUAAUGCGAUGCUGCAGCUCAUCUACAGUCUUCCUCAGCUCAGUCACACCUACGAAAGGUAUCGAGCAAUUAUUUUGAAUGUGGAUUCCAUGCAUUAGACCUUUGCCACGGAUCUAUAACAAUGAUGAAUCCCGGGCCUUUCAGUUCAUAAGUGGACAGAGGGGAGGAUUCGAGUGGAGUGUUUAUUGUCGUUCUCCAGUUGGAAUGAAUUGCGGUGCCAGUGGUACACCUCUGACGUACUGGAACAUUCCGUGAAGGUGUCACUCUCAAAACUAUCAUGGCGACCAUCGUAC